AUGUUAUCAAGAAAGGCGGAAGGAAUAGACCUGAAGAUGCCUUAGCAACCCUUUGUCUCGAGGAAACUCAGAUUGAGAAGGUGCUACAUUCUACCACGUAAGUGGAUAGAUAACAA
rnacentral:ncRNA from 2 species